AUUAGCUAGUUGGUGAGGUAACGGCUCACCAAGGCGGCGAUGCGUAGCCGACCUGAGAGGGUGAUCGGCCACAUUGGAACUGAGACACGGUCCAGACUCCUACGGGAGGCAGCAGUGGGGAAUAUUGCACAAUGGGCGAAAGCCUGAUGCAGCAACGCCGCGUGAGUGAUGAAGGCCUUCGGGUCGUAAAGCUCUUUGAUCAGGGAUGAUAAUGACAGUACCUGAAAAACAAGCCACGGCUAACUACGUGCCAGCAGCCGCGGUAAUACGUAGGUGGCGAGCGUUGUCCGGAAUUACUGGGCGUAAAGGAUGCGUAGGUGGAUAUUUAAGUGGGAUGUGAAAUCCCCGGGCUCAACCCGGGAACUGCAUUCCAAACUGGGUAUCUAGAGUGCAGGAGAGGAAAGCGGAAUUCCUAGUGUAGCGGUGAAAUGCGUAGAUAUUAGGAGGAACACCAGUGGCGAAGGCGGCUUUCUGGACUGCAACUGACACUGAGGCAUGAAAGCGUGGGUAGCAAACAGGAUUAGAUACCCUGGUAGUCCACGCCGUAAACGAUGGGUACUAGGUGUAGGAGGUAUCGACCCCUUCUGUGCCGUCGUUAACACAAUAAGUACCCCGCCUGGGGAGUACGGUCGCAAGACUAAACUCAAAGGAAUUGACGGGGGCCCGCACAAGCAGCGGAGCAUGUGGUUUAAUUCGAAGCACGCGAGACCCUUACCUAGACUUGACAUCUCCUGAAUACCCUUACCGGGGAGCCCUUCGGGUAGAAGACAGUGUGCAUGUGUCGUCAGCUCGUGUCGUGAGAUGUG
rnacentral:rRNA from 1 species